AUUGAACGCUGGCGGCAUGCCUUACACAUGCAAGUCGAACGGCAGCAUGAUCUACCUUGCUAGAUUGAUGGCGAGUGGCGAACGGGUGUGUAAUACAUCGGAACGUGCCCUGUAGUGGGGGAUAACUAGUCGAAAGAUUAGCUAAUACCGCAAACGACCUGAGGGUGAAAGUGGGGGACCGCAAGGCCUCAUGCUAUAGUAGCGGCCGAUGUCUGAUUAGCUAGUUGGUGAGGUAAAGGCUCACCAAGGCGACGAUCAGUAGCUGGUCUGAGAGGACGAUCAGCCACACUGGGACUGAGACACGGCCCAGACUCCUACGGGAGGCGGCAGUGGGGAAUUUUGGACAAUGGGCGAAAGCCUGAUCCAGCAAUGCCGCGUGUGUGAAGAAGGCCUUCGGGUUGUAAAGCACUUUUGUCCGGAAAGAAAUGGCUCUGGUUAAUACCUGGGGUCGAUGACGGUACCGGAAGAAUAAGGACCGGCUAACUACGUG
rnacentral:rRNA from 1 species